UUGUUCCUGAAUGAUGAGUCAAACACCCGAGGAGCAGAACCGAACGCCGCGGCGCGCCAGCCGGACGGCGCGAAGCUCAAGGUGACGGCGCUUGGUGGUAGCGGUGGAGCUGGCCUCGUCGACGUCCGUCCGGGUGAACUGCGCCCACGGCAUGGCCGGCGGCGACCUCUCCUGGUCCGCUGGAAGCGCCACCAGAUGCAUAAUUGGCGGUGACUUGCAGGCUAGCGUUUAUCCUGGCUUAUGAUAAGUGCUCAGUUUAAAGAUGGUUAGAUCUGCUCCUUGAUCCAGCAGGAUGGACGUAGAUACCUACAUGAUACAAAUCACUGCUUUGCG